GCCUCGGUGGUGUAGUGGUAGCACGCGUCUCCAGUUUGGAUUAUACGCGGGUUCGAUUCCCUCCUGAGGCC